rnacentral:lncRNA from 1 species
GGAAUCAAUGUGUGAGGUGGUGCUAUGUAGCAGGAACCCCUCUUGCUUUGCAAAUAGUUUUUUGUUUGUUUUCCUUUUUGCCCAAUAGAGCCCUGCUCUACUGACCCUUCAAUGUGCCCGUGUGCCUAAAUAUUCCUGGUCGUGUGAAAAGAACCCAGGUAUUAGCUGAACUAAGGAGCACAAUUCUGCAACAUUUUGGCACCCAAACACGGGGCUUGAGAAAUGAAUGCAAUUGGAGAAACUGGUUGUUUUACCAGGCGUUGAUUGGAAAUGUGUGCUUCCCUUUAAGCAGUCAAGCUCAACUUGCAGAACUGAUGGGAACCCCUUGGGAAAACUGGCCUCAAAUGUUUGUCUACACAGUCCACAUACAGGGUUCUUAACCUGCGGAAACACUUUCUGAAAAUGUCAGAACUCUUGAAAACAUGGAUGAGGAAAAGCAUAAGUACUGCUUUAUGCUUUUCUUAUGAAUUUUAAAAGAUGUAAUUUAAAGGGUAAUUUUUCUGGUCCAGUUAAGUUAGACCAGGACAUUUUCACUUGACAAAUCUGAGUAAACUUCUCUGGAAAAAAUUGUUUUUGACCAUUCGCCUAGAAUGAAUCUCUGGCAUAUUUAACUAUCCGGCUAUUUUGGAGAUUGAAAAAAGAAGACCUGAUUUAUCAUGUGCAAUAUCUCACACAUCUGUCAUUUCUAUUCUACCGCAAUUCGAUGGAGUCUUGUUCUGUGGUCCAGGCUAGAGGGCAGUGGCAUGAUCUCGGCUCACUACAAGCUCUGCCUCCCGGGUUCACGCCAUUCUCCUGCCUCAGCCUCCUGAGUAGCUGGGACUACAGGCGCCCGCCACCACGCCUGGCUAAUUUUUUGUAUAUUUACUAGAGAUGGCUAGUGUUAGCCAAGAUGGUCUCGAUCUCCUGACCUCGUGAUCUGCCCACCUCAGCCUGCCAAAGUGCUGGGAUUACUGGCGUGAGCCACCGUGCCUGGCCAGCAUCCUCUAAUUAUUAUUCAUAGUUUGUGAAUUUAGGCCUACGUGAAUAAUAAUAUAAUAUUUACUAUGAUGUUACUAUCUACCAACCUUAUUUUUCUUUUCUAUAAAAUAGGAGCCAAAAUAAUAUUUAUGUCAUACCUUAUGAAGUUAAAAUAAAAUAUAACGAAUGAGGGGCUUAACAA